rnacentral:rRNA from 1 species
ACGCUCGACACCUACGAGGCAGCAGUGGGGAAUAUUGCACAAUGGGGGAAACCCUGAUGCAGCGACGCCGCGUGAGCGAAGAAGUAUUUCGGUAUGUAAAGCUCUAUCAGCAGGGAAGAAACUGACGGUACCUGACUAAGAAGCACCGGCUAAAUACGUGCAAGCAGCCGCGGUAAUCUGAGCGGGCUGGCAAGGC